rnacentral:rRNA from 1 species
UACGUGGGUCACAAGCAUUAUCCGGUUUUACUGGGCGUAAAGAGACGCGUAGGCGUCUUGACAAGUUUGAUGUUAAAUCUCUCCGCUUAACGGGGAAAUCGCAUUGAAAACUGUUGAGAUUGAGUCAAGUAGAGAAGAGGGGAAUUCCUGGUGGAGCGGUUAAAUGCGUUGAUAUCAGGAGGAACACCAAUUGCGAAGGCACCUCUUUGGACUUGUACUGACGCUAAGGCUCGAAAGCGUGGGGAGCAAA